rnacentral:rRNA from 1 species
GGAGGGUGCGGUCGGGGAACGGAUUCACUGGGUUUUUAGGGAGCGUCGGUGGGUUUGUAAGUCCGUGGUGAAAUCUCGAAGCUUAACUUGGAAGCUGCCCGGAAGACGUUUUCUUGAAUUCCGUGGAGGUGAGCGGAAUUUGUCGUGUAGCGGUGAAAUGCUUAGAUAUUACAUAGAACAGCGAUUGCGAAGGCAGCUCACUACACAAAUAUUGCCCCUGAGGCACGAAAGCGUGGGGAUCAAACAGGAUUAGAUACCCUGGUAGUCCACGCCCUAAACUAUGGAUACUCGAGCUCGUUGAUACACAGUGUGUGUUUGAGCGAAAAACUUAAGUAUCCCUCCUGGGAAGUGCGAUCACAACAUUGGAACUCAAAGGAAUUGUCCUUGGUCCCCUGCACCGGUGGAGCAUGUGGUUUAAAAGGUUCAUACGCUAAGAACCUUACCUGCGCCAGAUUGCACCCUGACCGUGGGAUGAAAGCUAAUUUUUUUGAAUUCACAUCAUUGAAAGGUACUGCAUGGGUGACGUCAGCUCGUGCCAUGAGGUGACGGUGAAGUGCCGCAACGAGCGACAACCCCCAUCAGUGUCUGCCAUCGGGUCACGCUGGGUACUCUACUUGAAAUGGCCCUCAUCAGACGUGACGACAGAAGGGAUGAUGUCAAGUCAUCUGCCCUUGAUGUUCAAGG